rnacentral:sRNA from 1 species
UGACCUGUUGCGGGCUGAUGAAAUGAAUGUGCGAAUCAAUGCCGCCAGCGGUGACAAUCUUUCCCUCCGCGGCAAUAAUUUCGGUUGACGGCCCGAUGAUGAUAUCGACAUCCGGCUGAAUAUCGGGAUUGCCGGCCUUGCCGAUUUUUUCGAUAAGUCCGUCUUUCAGGCCGAUGUCGGCUUUGUAUAUACCGGUAUAAUCAAUAAUCAGCGCGUUGGUAAUGACUGUGUCCAUUGCACCUUGUUGUCGUGAAAGCUGGCUUUGCCCCAUGCCGUCGCG